CGGUAAUUCCAGCUCCAAUAGCGUAUACUAAAGUUGUUGCAGUUAAGAAGCUCGUAGUUGGAUUUCUGCGGGGACGGAGCGGCCAGUCGCAACUUGCGACUCGAGCUAGCGCUUUCCCCGCAUCCUGCCGCGAACCGUGCUACCAUUAGUUUGGUGGCGCUGGGGAUCGGCUCGAUUACUUUGAGAAAAAUAGAGUGUUCAAAGCAGGCCACACGCCUUGAAUAAGUUAGCAUGGAAUAAUGACUAAGGACUUCGGUUCUAUUUUGUUGGUGUUCGGGACUGAAGUAAUGAUUGAUAGGGACAGUUGGGGCGGUCUGUAUUCCAAAGCGAGAGGUGAAAUUCUUAGACCUUCGGAAGACAAACAGCUGCGAAAGCGUUCCGCAAGGAUGUUCCCUUUGAUCAAGAACGAAAGUUGGGGGAUCGAAGACGAUCAGAUACCGUCGUAGUCUCAACUAUAAACUAUACCAGCUAGGGAUCGGUCAACGUUUAAUUAUUCGACUUGAUCGGCACCUUAUGAGAAAUCAAAGCAUCUGGGUUCCGGGGGGAGUAUGGUCGCAAGGCUGAAACUUAAAGGAACUGACGGAAGGGCACCACCAGCCGUGGAGCCUGUGGCUUAAUUUGACUCAACACGGGAAAACUUACCAGGUCCAGACAUAGUAAGGAUUGACAGAUUGAUAGCUCUUUCUUGAUUCUGUGGGUGGUGGUGCAUGGCCGUUCUUAGUUGGUGGAGUGAUUUGUCUGGUUAAUUCCGUUAACGAACGAGACCCCAGCCUGCUAAAUAGCGCGGCUGAGCUUUGCUCGGUGCGAGCUUCUUAGAGGGACUAUGAUGCGCGAUAGCACAUGGAAGUUUGGGGCAAUAACAGGUCUGUGAUGCCCUUAGAUGUUCUGGGCCGCACACGGGCUACACUGGCGCCUGCAACGAGCAUAUCAGCUGGCCCGAGAGGGUCUUGGCUAAUCUUUUGAACCGGCGCCGUGCUUGGGAUUGACCUUUGCAAUUGUUGGUCAUGCAACGAGGAAUGCCUUGUAAACGCGAGUCAUCAGCUCGCAUUGAAUACGUCCCUGCCCUUUGUACACACCGCCCGUCGCUCCUACCGAUGAAUGUUCCGAUGAAAUUUUCGGAGAGCGCCAGAGAACGGGGCUCUGCCUUGCAGAUCUGGAGGCUCAAAGUCACUUAAAUCUGAACAUUUCGAGGAAGGAGAAGUCGUAACAAGGUAGCCG
rnacentral:rRNA from 1 species